rnacentral:rRNA from 1 species
UAAACUAGGAUUAGAUACCCUAUUAUUUUAGAUGUAAAAUUUUCAAAACUUGAGUAGUAAUAGUUAUAGUCUUGAAACUCAAAGAAUUUGGCGGUAUUUUAGUCUUUUUAGAGGAAUCUGCCCCGUAAUUGAUAAUCCACAUUAUAUCAUUCUUUAAUUUGUUUAAUCAGUUUGUAUACCGCCGUUAUCAGAAUAUUUUAUUAGGAUGUUAAUAUUCAUUAUUUUAAUUAAAAUUUAUUUCAGGUCAAGGUGCAGUUUAUGUUAAAGGGGAGGUGGAUUACAAUAAAUUUAUUUAUACGGACAUUGAUUUGAAACAAUUGUUUAAAGGCGGAUUUAAUAGUAAAUUUAAUUAUUAUCUUAUGUUGAUUUUGCUCUAAAAUAUGCACACAUCG